UACGUAGGGUGCAAGCGUUGUCCGGAAUUAUUGGGCGUAAAGAGCUCGUAGGCGGUUUGUCGCGUCUGCCGUGAAAAGUCCGGGGCUCAACUCCGGAUCUGCGGUGGGUACGGGCAGACUAGAGUGAUGUAGGGGAGAUCGGAAUUCCUGGUGUAGCGGUGAAAUGCGCAGAUAUCAGGAGGAACACCGGUGGCGAAGGCGGCUCACUGGACCGGUACUGACGCUGAGGCGCGAAAGCGUGGGGAGCAAACGGG
rnacentral:rRNA from 1 species